rnacentral:rRNA from 1 species
GUGGGGAAUAUUGCACAAUGGGCGCAAGCCUGAUGCAGCCAUGCCGCGUGUGUGAAGAAGGCCUUCGGGUUGUAAAGCACUUUCAGCGGGGAGGAAGGCGAUAAGGUUAAUAACCUUGUCGAUUGACGUUACCCGCAGAAGAAGCACCGGCUAACUCCGUGCCAGCAGCCGCAGUAAUACGGAGGGUGCAAGCGUUAAUCGGAAUUACUGGGCGUAAAGCGCACGCAGGCGGUCUGUCAAGUCGGAUGUGAAAUCCCCGGGCUCAACCUGGGAACUGCAUUCGAAACUGGCAGGCUAGAGUCUUGUAGAGGGGGGUAGAAUUCCAGGUGUAGCGGUGAAAUGCGUAGAGAUCUGGAGGAAUACCGGUGGCGAAGGCGGCCCCCUGGACAAAGACUGACGCUCAGGUGCGAAAGCGUGGGGAGCAAACAGGAUUAGAUACCCCAGUAGUCC